rnacentral:rRNA from 1 species
UACGUAGGGGGCAAGCGUUGUCCGGAAUCAUUGGGCGUAAAGAGCGCGUAGGCGGCCCUGUAAGUCCGCUGUGAAAGUCAAGGGCUCAACCCUUGGAUGCCGGUGGAUACUGCAGGGCUAGAGUCCGGAAGAGGCGAGUGGAAUUCCUGGUGUAGCGGUGAAAUGCGCAGAUAUCAGGAGGAACACCGAUGGCGAAGGCAGCUCGCUGGGACGGUACUGACGCUGAGG